AUUGAACGCUGGCGGCAGGCCUAACACAUGCAAGUCGAGCGGAUGAAGGGAGCUUGCUCCUGGAUUCAGCGGCGGACGGGUGAGUAAUGCCUAGGAAUCUGCCUGGUAGUGGGGGAUAACGUCCGGAAACGGGCGCUAAUACCGCAUACGUCCUGCGGGAGAAAGUGGGGGAUCUUCGGACCUCACGCUAUCAGAUGAGCCUAGGUCGGAUUAGCUAGUUGGUGGGGUAAAGGCCUACCAAGGCGACGAUCCGUAACUGGUCUGAGAGGAUGAUCAGUCACACUGGAACUGAGACACGGUCCAGACUCCUACGGGAGGCAGCAGUGGGGAAUAUUGGACAAUGGGCGAAAGCCUGAUCCAGCCAUGCCGCGUGUGUGAAGAAGGUCUUCGGAUUGUAAAGCACUUUAAGUUGGGAGGAAGGGCAGUAAGUUAAUACCUUGCUGUAUUGACGUUACCAACAGAAUAAGCACCGGCUAACUUCGUG
rnacentral:rRNA from 1 species